rnacentral:rRNA from 1 species
UGAGGAAUAUUGCGCAAUGGGGGUAACCCUGACGCAGUAACGCCGCGUGAGUGAGGAAGGUUUUCGGACCGUAAAGCUCUGUCGAGCGGGAAGAAAUGCAUGGUGGCUAAUAUCCAUCAUGCUUGACGGUACCGCUAAAGGAAGCACCGGCUAACUCCGUGCCAGCAGCCGCGGUAAUACGGGGGGUGCGAGCGUUGUUCGGAAUUAUUGGGCGUAAAGAGCGUGUAGGCGGCCGAAUAAGUCAGAUGUGAAAUCCCUGGGCUUAACCCAGGACGUGCAUUUGAAACUAUUCGGCUGGAGUAGGGGAGAGGAAAGUGGAAUUCCUGGUGUAGAGGUGAAAUUCGUAGAUAUCAGGAGGAACACCGGUGGCGAAGGCGACUUUCUGGCCCUAUACUGACGCUGAGACGCGAGAGCGUGGGUAGCAAACAG